CAGUCCUCAAUGUUUCAACAUGAAAUUACAUACAGAGAGGAGGUGAGACCAAUUUUGAUGUCAAAGCUCUCUUACUCCAACACACUUUUACAGUUGUUGAACAAUGUCGAAUGCACUUGUUUGGAUGUUCAGAUGUUUCUGGUGAUCCGCCAGAGCCAAAGGCAUCAUGGAGGGAUGACUUUUCCUGUGUAUUGCAUAAAGAGAAGAAAGGAUUCAGUGAAGUGUUUGCAAUGGCAAGGGUAGCGAAGGAUGUUUGGGAAGAAUUUCAGGAAGUUAAUUCUUUG
rnacentral:misc_RNA from 1 species